UGUCUCUGCUAGGUCAUGCCACCGCUGCUGAUUCAUGUUUGCUGUCCUGAACUCUAUCGAAUUGGACUGCUGGUGUACCUGUGAUGUGUUCACGAGUGGACCGAGCUGCCGCCGCCUGCUAACCUGUAAACUGAACUGCCAAUUUCCAGACAACACAGGAGUCGCUCCAGAGAACCUUUCUAAGCAGGUCCACUUCCCCUAUGGGAAAAGUGAGUCCCAGGGGCGUGAGUAGUUGCUGGAGGGAAACUGAACUUGAACUUUGGCCAAGCAGCUUCCUGUUCCCCUUCCAUCAUCCACCAUGCCCUGCACAGAGAGGCCCUGCCUUAGAGAAGCUCUGGCGAUUAGCACAUGCCCCUGUAAGCACACUGAGUUGGCAGUGACAUCCAAUGGAACCUCUGAAGAAUGAAGAUCCGGCUUGCCUGGAACCUGGUCUUCAUUAACACCAAAGUUGGGGCUGGGAGUGUGGCGCAGUGGUUAGAGCUCCUGUCUAUCAUGCAGAAAGCCCUGGGUUCGAUCCCCAGCACCACAGAAAACAGGAUACGGUCUGGUAUCUGAGAAGACCUGAAAGAGGCAUUGGAUUCCCUGGGAACACGAGUUACAGACAGUUGUGAAUCACCACAUGAGCGCUGGGAACCAAACCCAGGUCCUCUGCAAGAGCAGUCAGUGUUCUCAAGGCUGAGCCACCUCCCCAGUGGCUGUCAGAGUACCCAUCGCCAUGUAGCCUGGCUGAGCUGAAGCUCACUGUUUACAUCAAGCUGUGCCUGAACUCCAGGCAAUCCUCCUGCCUCAGUCCCUAGGAUCACAGACUUUCAUCAUGUAGUUGAUGUAGUAUGUCACUGAACUCCUUCUGUUAUGUACCUGCAGUGCUCCAGGUGCAGUUCUGGGCACAGUGACAAACCAGAUAUCAGAAGUGGCCAUUAUGGGAAGCAUCUGGCUCUAAAAAUGUCACCAGCGGCUGGCUGAAAUCCCCGGGGAAGGAGGUGGCCUCUUCUCUAAUCCAACCAAGGAAGCACAUGAUGACCAGGAUGGGUCACCCUGGCAGGGCGGGCGACAUGGCUCCUCCUGUCGCUGGAGGUAACUCUCACUCCAGUUCUCUCCUUCAUGAACACAGUCUCCAUCCAAGCAACAUGGCUGCCCUCACCACCCCUCCACUCAGCACCCCAACUGGAGAUUAGCCCUUGAGACUCCCCACCAUGUCCCCACUGUGAGAUGGGAGGAAGGCACCUGCCCCCCAGGGUUGAUUAUGGGGCCAACAGAUCUUAGCUCAAGAGGGAGCUCAGUAACCAGGAUGCUAGCAGCUGCCAUGUGCGGAUGGGUUGUGCAUGGUCUCAAGGCAUUCCCCAGAGGAAGCCUGUGGGAGCUGGGAUCCAGCCCAGGACUGGCCUGGCCUGCCACCUGCCCUACAGGGGUAGUGAAUAUUAAGAGAAAGGGAUUGCUUUAAUCACUUCCUAAGAUUCUUGCCUCUUCUGGGUUUAUACAUGGUCUGAACACUGGACAGACAAGAUCAAUGAGAGUUUAAUUCAUCAUCGUCAGAGCCCAGUGAGGACACCCCUGCCACUGCACUGGGCCCCAGGGCCUGCACCCAGUGACAAAACAAAUACCCAGGAGCUGCGGGAGGGAGACAGGCUCUGAAGUACUAGGUAACUUCUGGCUUCUGUGGAAUAUGUGAUCAGCUUGCUUGCUGGUGGGCAAAGAACCGAAGUCUACUAGGUUAAAGACCCCAGAAGCCGCGUGUGGCCCUUUAGUGCAGUGGGGACCCUCUCACACACUACACUGUUUUAUUUCCUUGAAACUACCAAACCAUUGACGCCUCCUUAGCUCUGGAUGCUUCGCAGGAUGUGAACUGGCCCCUGGAAUCCACAUGGUCCCCACACACACAGUCCCCUGCCCCCUUCACCAUACACAGCCCCCCUACUCCCCAAAGACUCAUGAAGCCCAGCUGAAGAGGAAUAUGGUGGCACACAUUUGUAACUAGGAGACUGAGGCAGG